GGAUAUGAGGGAGACCUGACUGUGAUAUCUUUCACCCCAUGGAUCGCCAAGGUUGAUUCAGCUGAUCGGCCUGACUUGGUGGGUGUCCCCUUCCUCCCUCACCGCUCCACGUGACUCCUCCUGAAGUUUCGUGCUCAGCAGAAGAGGACCUUCCCGGAAGGGAGACCAGUGUCCAAGUAGCCACGUUCCUCUGCUGGAACCUUCAGACUUGGGGUUCAGAGAGUUUGGUUCCUGGCUUCACAGGUGCUGGAGCAGUUCUCUGCUUCUUUUU
ensembl:misc_RNA 7SK 7SK RNA